AUUCCAGCUCCAAUAGCGUAUAUUAAAGUUGUUGCAGUUAAAAAGCUCGUAGUUGAACUUCUGUCUGUAUGUCAACCCUACAAGGAUCUGACAAGACGGGCAUCCCCGAUCGACGGUUUACUGUACUUAAGUGUUCAUAUAACCUGAACCGGAUUUUACUUUGAAAAAAUUAGAGUGUUUCAAGCAGGCGAUUUGCUGGAAUACAUUAGCAUGGAAUAAUAGAAGAUGACCACCACGCAUUUUUUUGGUAUAUUGCUGGAGGUAAUGAUUAACAGGGACAGUUGGGGGCAUUAGUAUUUAACUGUCAGAGGUGAAAUUCAUUGAUUAAUUAAAGACUAACUUAUGCGAAAGCAUUUGCCAAGGAUGUUUUCAUCG
rnacentral:rRNA from 1 species